rnacentral:tRNA from 1 species
CUUGUAGCUUAGUUGGUAAAGAGUCUGCCUGCAAUGCAGGAGGCCUGGGUUCGACCCCUGGGUCAAGA